rnacentral:misc_RNA from 1 species
GAUGAAGAACGUAGCGAAAUGCGAUACUCGGUGUGAAUUGCAGAAUCCCGCGAAUCAUCGAGUUUUUGAACGCAAGUUGCGCCCGAAGCCAUUCGGCCGAGGGCACGUCUGCCUGGGUGUCACGCAUCGUUGCCCCCCCAAACUCCGGUUCGGGCAGGGCGGAAGUUGGCCUCCCGUGCGUGCCUGCGCGCGCGGUUAGCCCAAAAGCGAGUCCUCGGCGACGAGCGCCACGACAAUCGGUGGUUUUUUUACCCUCGUUCCUCGUCGUGCGUGCCCCGUCGCCCGAACGCGCUCUUGCGACCCUUACGCGUCGCCUCGGCGGCGCUCCCAACGCGACCCCAGGUCAGGCGGGACUACCCGCUGAGUUUAAGCAUAUCAAUAAGCGGAGGA